AUUGAACGCUGGCGGCAGGCCUAACACAUGCAAGUCGAGCGGAUGAAGGGAGCUUGCUCCUGGAUUCAGCGGCGGACGGGUGAGUAAUGCCUAGGAAUCUGCCUGUUAGUGGGGGAUAACGUCCGGAAACGGGCGCUAAUACCGCAUACGUCCUGAGGGAGAAAGUGGGGGAUCUUCGGACCUCACGCUAUCAGAUGAGCCUAGGUCGGAUUGGCUAGUUGGUGGGGUAAAGGCCUACCAAGGCGACGAUCCGUAACUGGUCUGAGAGGAUGAUCAGUCACACUGGAACUGAGACACGGUCCAGACUCCUACGGGAGGCAGCAGUGGGGAAUAUUGGACAAUGGGCGAAAGCCUGAUCCAGCCAUGCCGCGUGUGUGAAGAAGGUCUUCGGAUUGUAAAGCACUUUAAGUUGGGAGGAAGGGCAGUAAGUUAAUACCUUGCUGUUUUGACGUUACCAAAAGAAUAAGCACCGGCUAACUUCGUG
rnacentral:rRNA from 1 species